rnacentral:lncRNA from 1 species
CGUCGAUGGCGUCGCUUCUCUCAAGCUGCGGUGAGGUUGCUCCGAGCGCCGGGCUGACGGGCACAGCAGCAGCGAACUGAGACGGCCGGUGUGCAGCGAGCAACGCCGGGCUGGUGGCGCGGCGAACUCGCUGCUGCCGGCGAUGAGCGGGAGCACCGCUGCUGGACAACUGCUGCUGGAUCGGCGAUGAGGCGGAUCGGCGAUGAGGCUGAAUGUCCUGCUGGAUUUCUCGAGCUCCGCCACGCCGAGCUCCGAGCAGAUGAGAGCAGCUGCGCCUUGAACGCCGGUGGAGGGCGGCGUCGUCGGUGACGAUCUGCUGCUGCUGCGAGGAGCGGAGGGCCGAUCUUCUGCUGCUGCGAGGAGCGGAGGGCCGAUCUGCUGCUGCUGCGAGGAGGGCCGAUCUGCUGCUGCUGCGAGGAGGGCGGCGUCGUCGGUGACGCAACGGCCAAGGAGAAGCCGGGGAGGGAGAGAUGGCACCGGCGUGGCUCCGCACACGCACAGUUGGUCAAAAAGCUUGUGCUUUCAUUUUUCGCGUGGGGGACAAAAGCUCCCUACUUUUU